rnacentral:rRNA from 1 species
GACAGAGGGUGCGAACGUUGUUCGGAAUUACUGGGCGUAAAGCGUGCGCAGGCGGUCUGCUAAGAGAGGUGUGAAAUCCCCGGGCUUAACCUGGGAACUGCGCUUCUAACUGGCAGGCUUGAGUGUGGCAGAGGGGGGUGGAAUUCCACGUGUAGCAGGUGAAAUGCGUAGAGAUGUGGAGGAACACCGAUGGCGAAGGCAGCCCCCUGGGCUA